GGACCCGUAGCUCAGCUGGAUAGAGCGCUGCCCUCCGAAGGCAGAGGUCGCGCGUUCGAAUCGCGCCGGGUCCACCA
rnacentral:tRNA from 1 species